CAAGCUCGCCUCUGUGGGCCUCU
rnacentral:miRNA from 1 species